rnacentral:lncRNA from 1 species
CAAAUUUAUUAAGAGUGUUGGUGCACUUCUCCAGCAACACGAGGGUGUAGGGACCGAGGACAUCAGAAUCAGGCAUGAUCUCUGUGAUAGAUACGCGGGUCAUAUCGAUAGAUUGCUCAACUAUGCUAUUGCGUUGAAGGCGAAGGGUCUCAUUCUUGAAUUAUGGGCCCACGACAGUGCCAUAUAAUUUCCCUCUUCAGGUUCUUGAUACAAAGAACUCAAACUUGCGCCGUCUGGAGCUUUGGUUUGUUUCUUUAAAUCCGCCUGCUGGUUACAGGGGUUUUCAGAAUCUCACUAAGCUUUGCCUGCGAGAUGUUAGUAUUACCAAUGAAGAUGUUCAACGUUUGCUGUCUGAAGGCAAUCAUCUAGAGUGCCUCCGUAUUACCUACUGUAAGAUGCUUACCAGUUUAAGGAUUCCACAUUGCCUGAAUCGCCUUAAGGUUUUGCUUGUUCUGAGUUGCCCGGUACUUGAAGACAUGACGUUAGAUUGUGGAGUGCCAGCACUCCACUAUAGAGGUUCAUUGAUACCAAUGGAGUUUGCUGCACCUUUGAAGCUAACGAAACUAUCGAUUGAGUUAUUACCUUGCCAUUCUGCUCUAGGAUUCAUCUUCAAUGAACUCCCAGCAACUCUCCCACGUCUUGAGAUGCUCUCAUUAAGUUGCACACAACUUGAG